rnacentral:tRNA from 1 species
GCACCAAUAGCUCAGUUGGUUAGAGCUACCGGCUCAUAACCGGUCGGUCCGGGGUUCGAGUCCCUGUUGGUGCACCA